rnacentral:rRNA from 1 species
GACGAACGCUGGCGGCGUGCUUAACACAUGCAAGUCGAGCGGAAAGGCCCUUCGGGGUACUCGAGCGGCGAACGGGUGAGUAACACGUGAGUAACCUGCCCUUCACUUUGGGAUAACCCUCGGAAACGGGGGCUAAUACCGGAUAUGACACAUGCUCGCAUGGGUGGUGUGUGGAAAGAUUUUUUGGUGGGGGAUGGGCUCGCGGCCUAUCAGCUUGUUGGGUGGGGUGAUGGCCUACCAAGGCGACGACGGGUAGCCGGCCUGAGAGGGCGACCGGCCACACUGGGACUGAGACACGGCCCAGACUCCUACGGGAGGCAGCAGUGGGGAAUAUUGCACAAUGGGCGGAAGCCUGAUGCAGCGACGCCG